rnacentral:rRNA from 1 species
UACGGAGGGUGCAAACGUUGCUCGGAAUCAUUGGGCGUAAAGCGCACGUAGGCGGCUCGAUAAGUCGGAUGUGAAAGCCCUGGGCUCAACCCAGGAAGUGCAUUCGAUACUGCCGAGCUUGAAUAUGGAAGAGGGUCGCGGAAUUCCCGGUGUAGAGGUGAAAUUCGUAGAUAUCGGGAGGAACACCAGUGGCGAAGGCGGCGACCUGGACAGGUACUGACACUCAACUACGAAAGCGUGGGGAGCAAACAGG